UGACCUUUACUUGCCCAGUUCAGACCAAAGAUCUGCAACGAGACAAGUUGAAACUUUCAACUUCUUGCAACGAGCCAGUCUGCAGCGUUCUAAAACCUGCCAGUUCACACCAAUGAGAUGAGACGAGAUGAGAUGAGACGAGAUGGUGUAUCAACAACGCCUCUUUGUACUUCGGUUCUAACUUCCGACUUUUAGGCUUUUUUGUAGCUGGAUAUAUCAUUUGUUUCGUCAAAAUAUGAAUGUGGAUAACGUUAGUGAUAUUGAGACGAUUGCUACAGUUGCAUUUCUAGUGACGAAUCGGCAAAAACACGUUUUAUUUCUCUGAUUCACUGCUUUCUUCUAUUUCCCUCUCUUCAGUCACUCUCGGUCGCUUGACCAGAUAACGUUACCGUGCUCUCGGGCGGUCAUUGAGGCUCCGGCUAAAACUCUGCCAUUUCGAC